UACGAAGGGGGCUAGCGUUGCUCGGAAUCACUGGGCGUAAAGCGCACGUAGGCGGAUUGCUAAGUCAGGGGUGAAAGCCCGGGGCUCAACCCCGGAAUUGCCUUUAAGACUGCAUCGCUUGAAUCCGGGAGAGGUGAGUGGAAUUCCGAGUGUAGAGGUGAAAUUCGUAGAUAUUCGGAAGAACACCAGUGGCGAAGGCGGCUCACUGGACCGGUAUUGACGCUGAGGUGCGAAAGCGUGGGGAGCAAACAGG
rnacentral:rRNA from 1 species